AGUGAACGCUGGCGGUAGGCCUAACACAUGCCAGUCGAACGGCAGCACAGUAAGAGCUUGCUCUUACGGGUGGCGAGUGGCGGACGGGUGAGGAAUACAUCGGAAUCUACUUUUUCGUGGGGGAUAACGUAGGGAAACUUACGCUAAUACCGCAUACGACCUACGGGUGAAAGCAGGGGAUCUUCGGACCUUGCGCGAUUGAAUGAGCCGAUGUCGGAUUAGCUAGUUGGCGGGGUAAGGCCCACCAAGGCGACGAUCCGUAGCUGGUCUGAGAGGAUGAUCAGCCACACUGGAACUGAGACACGGUCCAGACUCCUACGGGAGGCAGCAGUGGGGAAUAUUGGACAAUGGGCGCAAGCCUGAUCCAGCCAUACCGCGUGGGUGAAGAAGGCCUUCGGGUUGUAAAGCCCUUUUGUUGGGAAAGAAAGGCAGCAGGUUAAUACCCCGCUGUUCUGACGGUACCCAAAGAAUAAGCACCGGCUAACUUCGUG
rnacentral:rRNA from 1 species